GGUUGAUCCUGCCAGUAGUCAUAUGCUUGUCUUAAAGAUUAAGCCAUGCAUGUCUAAGUAUAAGCACUUGUACUGUGAAACUGCGAAUGGCUCAUUAUAUCAGUUAUAAUUUAUUUGAUGGUCAUUUACUUGGAUAACCGUGGUAAAUCUAGAGCUAAUACAUGCAUAAAAUCCUGACUGGGAACGGAAAGGAUGUAUUUAUUAGAUACAAAAACCAAUGCAUCAGGCCUUCACGGGCUUGGUGGAAAACAUGGUGAUUCAUGAUAACUUUACGAAUCGUGUGGUCUUGUAC
rnacentral:rRNA from 1 species